rnacentral:rRNA from 1 species
UGCCCGUCACAGGGGGAUAACCGGCGGAAACGGCGACUAAUACCCCAUAUGCUGCGAUGCUGCAUGGCAUUGCAAUGAAAGAUUCAUCGGUGGCGGAUAGGCUCGCGGGACAUUAGCUAGACGGCGGGGCAACGGCCCACCGUGGCGACGAUGUCUAGGGGUUCUGAGAGGAAGACCCCCCACACUGGGACUGAGACACGGCCCAGACUCCUACGGGAGGCAGCAGUGAGGAAUAUUGGUCAAUGGGCGGAAGCCUGAACCAGCCAUGCCGCGUGAAGGACUAAGGCCCUACGGGUCGUAAACUUCUUUAGACGCAGAGCAAUAAGGUCCACGCGUGGACCGAUGAGAGUAUGCGUAGAAUAAGCAUCGGCUAACUCCGUGCCAGCAGCCGCGGUAAUACGGGGGAUGCGAGCGUUAUCCGGAUUCAUUGGGUUUAAAGGGUGCGUAGGCGGCCGAGUAAGUCAGCGGUGAAAGACCGGGGCUCAACCCUGGAAGUGCCGUUGAUACUGUUUGGCUGGAAUGAUCCCGCCGCGGGAGGAAUGAGUGGUGUAGCGGUGAAAUGCAUAGAUAUCACUCAGAACACCGAUUGCGAAGGCAUCUCGCGAGGGGUCAAUUGACGCUGAGGCACGAAAGCGUGGGGAUCGAACAGGAUUAGAUACCCUGGUAGUCCACGCAGUAAACGAUGAUGGCUAACUGUCGGGCCUACGGGUUCGGCGGCCAAG